rnacentral:lncRNA from 7 species
AAGGGACUAUGAAUAUUUCUGUUUUCCAGAGCAGAAGUCUUUUCGUGAAGAGCAGAUGAUGGAAGAACCAACAGCUCUUAACACCAGUUGGGACUGGACAAUUUCACCACUGCCAACAAAACUGUGUAACAUCUCCAGUAUCAGGGUAGUAGUGGCACUCCAGAAAGCAAAUGGGUCCUGGGCCCUCACCUCAGCCCUGAUCUCUGCCUUGGGGCUCAGGAAGACUGCUGUUGAGGGACGAAGUCUCAGUGAGGAUGUGAAGCCAGUUGUCUGGGCCACAGUUUUGGCCUUAGUGUGGCUGCACCAGUAUAAAUGGAGGGUAUCCUGGUCAGAACUUCUGGAGGCCAAAGCUUGUAGGUGGCUGUGGGACAGAGCUGAGUUCCACCCGGAUGAAUGUCUGGAAGCAGCAAAUUCCCUCUUAGGCUGUUUUGUAGAGCCCACCAUCUUCAGGAUCUGAACUUCCCCGUGCUUCAGGGGGUGGGCAAGGGAUACAGCGGGACGACUGAUGAAGGGAAGGGGAAAGGAAGGGUGGAGGGGGUUGAGGGUGAAGAACUUGGGCAAGCUGGGGAUGGGGUCAGGGGAUGUUGUCUUUCAAGGUAAAAGCUGCUUCGAAGUUGACUAGAUGUUUACUUGUGGAAGAUGGUGAUCAUCUUUACAUCAGAAGUUAUUGCCUACACAUAAUUUGUAGGUUUUUUUGUUUCUCUUUCCUCACUUAUUAAACUGUCCUUAUC